UUUUAUUUUUUUUUUAUAAAAGUCAAAAAAGUCAACUCAAACAAAUUUUUUAACUUGAAUAAAAUGUCUAAAAAUUCAAAAAAAUCAACCAAACUUUCCAACCAAAUCCUAAGACUAACGCUAUGUUUAGUUGGGAGAUUUGGGAAAGGAUUUGAAAAGAGAAAGGAAAAAAAUGUGUGAAACUAGAUAAAAUAGAUAUAUUUUAUUCAUAUUUCACUUGUCUUUUCCUUUUUCCUUUCUAAAUCCAUUCCUAAAUUGUACAACCAAACAUACAUAAAGGAAAAUAAUUUGUAGGUUAGACCACCAGGUUGUAUUUGAUCUUGACCAAUUAUAAGCGGCUAGUUUUCACUUACCCUUUUUUUGGGUACAUCAGAAAUAAAACAUAGUGCGAACAAAAAUGAUCCGUAGCUCGAAGGUUUCGGGCUCGAAUGGCUCGAAAGUUUAAAUUUCUCUCUCCUCUCGAUCUCUUCCCCUCUCCGCCUCUGCAGUUCACUCUCGCCUCUCUCACCUCUCUCACUCUCAACAAACCUCUCUUUCACUCUCGCCUUAUCCCUCUCUCCUCUCUAUCUCUUCACUCUCACCUCUUGCCUCUCUCACCUGUCUCUUGAAGGAGUUCGAAGGACGACGAAACGGUGGACGAACGAUAGCGGAGGCAGACGAACCACGACGGAGGAAGGAGGACGACGAACCACGACGAAGGACGAACGAGAGCCGGCGACAGCGAAUCUGAGAUAAAAAAAUGGCUUCAUCUUCUACUAAUAAUACAAACAUAAGAUUAAAGCCAAGGUUUUGUAAUUGUAGAAGAACAACUUCCAUACGUAUAGUACGAACCAAUGAGAAUGGAAAUGAAAGACGUGUCUAUUUUGUUUGCCCAAGAAAAUAUACUACAAACGAACAUUGCAAUUACUUCAGGUGGUUCACGGAUGAUGACGACGACGACAUUACCUCCACAAUCCGUGCCAAUGCUGGACCUCGGACAGAUUCAAGAACAGAAGAAAUUAAUGAUCUAAGGAGAAGGCUUGGUGAGCAUGAUAGAAGGCUUCAAAGGAUGGAGAAGAUUUUCAAGGCAAUGACUUAUGUCAUUGUAUUUUGUGUAUUUUUGUACUUUAUCAUGUAAAUGACUCAGUUGUUAGGUUUUGGAACAUGCUAUGAAUGUAAUCUACUUUUCUACUUGUUUUGUAAUUUUUUUUU